AGCUUUGUGCAGUGGCAGUAUCGUAGCCAAUAAGGUUUAUCUGAGGCGCGAUUCUUGCUAAUUGCAAACUUUUCCCAAGUAUUUGUUAAACUCAUAUAUAAAUUUCAUAUAAAUUUCAUCUACAUAAAUAUAUAU
ensembl:snRNA U4 U4 spliceosomal RNA